rnacentral:lncRNA from 1 species
CCCGGUCUCCAAAAGAGCUCUCAACAUAGGCCAAGGAUAAGAUGGCCUCCUCAGGGCGACGAGAAGCUUAGACCUCCGAGCCCGCACUCUUAAAGGAGGUGUCAAACUCGAGUGGUUCUGGAUGAAUCAGCGGCCAUAAAAGGAAGGAUGGGUCAAUGCGAUGGUGAUCGGGUAUCUCCGAACGGCAUCGAUAUCGAGCA